rnacentral:rRNA from 1 species
AUUGAACGCUGGCGGCAGGCCUAACACAUGCAAGUCGCACGAGUGGCGGACGGGUGAGUAAUGUCUGGGAAACUGCCUGAUGGAGGGGGAUAACUACUGGAAACGGUAGCUAAUACCGCAUACCAUCAGAUGUGCCCCGAUGGGCUUAGCUUGUUGGUGGGGUAACGGCUCACCCAGGCGACGAUCCCUAGCUGGUCUGAGAGGAUGACCAGCCACACUGGAACUGUGACACGGUCCAGACUCCUACGGGAGGCAGCGUGGGGUAAGAGUGCACAAUGGGCGCAAUCCUGAUGCAGCCAUGCCGCGUGGUUGAAGAAGGCCUUCGGGUUGUAAAGUACUUUCAGCGGGGAGGCGUUACCCGCAGAAGAAGCACCGGCUAACUCCGUGCCAGCAGCCGCGGUAAUUC